GACGUAGGGUGCGAGCGUUGUCCGGAUUUAUUGGGCGUAAAGAGCGUGUAGGCGGCUUGACAGGUCUGCUGUGAAAACUCGAGGCUCAACCUCGAGAUGUCGGCGGAAACCGUCUGGCUAGAGUCCGGAAGAGGAGAGUGGAAUUCCUGGUGUAGCGGUGAAAUGCGCAGAUAUCAGGAAGAACACCUAUGGCGAAGGCAGCUCUCUGGGACGGUACUGACGCUGAGACGCGAAAGCGUGGGGAGCGAACAGG
rnacentral:rRNA from 1 species